rnacentral:lncRNA from 1 species
AAUACUUACCCCGAUAUACACUGAUGUGUAUAAGCCAUUUAAUGGCAGGCCAGCAGUGGUUAUCAGUACUUUAUCAUCUUUAUCGAUAAUUAUUCACAAUAUGGGUAUGUAUUUCUUAUGAGACACAAGUCCGAAGCUUUUGAAAAGUUUAAAAAAUUUAGACAUAAAGUAGAAAAAUAAAUAAAAAAAUCACUUAAGAUUCUUUGAUC